CGGUCGGAUGGGUCUUCAGUGAAAUCCAACGCUAGAUCGUUGGGCUUGCUGAGGAAACUAUUCGACUUGGGACCGGGAGAGGCCAGAGCUAUUCCUGGGGUAGCGGUAAAAUGCUGUAAUCCUUGGAGGAGCGCCUGUGGCGAAAGCGUCUGGCUGGAACGGCUCCGACGGUGAGGGACGAAAGCCUGGGGAGCGAAAGGGAUUAGAUACCCCCGUAGUCCAGGCCGUUAACGAUGCCCGUUUGGUGUAGCAUUUCCUACGAGGAAAUGCUGUGCCGUAGCGUAGGUGUUAAACGGGCCGCCUGGGGA
rnacentral:rRNA from 1 species